rnacentral:tRNA from 1 species
UCCCAGGUGGCUGAGUGUUAAAGAAUCUGCCUGCAAUGCAGGAGAUGCAGGUUCAAUCCCUGGAUUGUGAA